ensembl:lncRNA
CAUCUCCUCUUCUCAACACUCUCCUUCUCUUUUUCCACUCUCGGUCUCUUUCUCUCCAUCUGUGUCAGAGGAGGCUGCUACGACUCAAUCAGGCUCACAAAAACGCAGAGGAGCUCCCACUCUUUGUCUGCCUCACUCAGAAAUCUCUGGGUGGAUGCCAACUCUCCUACAGCAGUGAAACACCUGCUCCAGCAACAAGACGUGAUAUGAGCCCCUAGCUGGAACUGUAGAGGCAGCCUUUCACAGGCAUUUGGAUGAAAUGUGAACCGGCAAGCUGGAGGACAGAACCCCAGAAAACCGAGAGAGAAGUGGACAUGAGAGUAAUGCAGAUAAUGCUGGCUCAAUUUGAGUUUAGUGCUUUAUCUUUUUCAAUGCAAGUCACAAAAUGCAUCUGCCAUUCCCUCUACAUAAGUCAUACGAGACAUACAGAGCUUUUCACAAUGUGUGGGACUUUGCUUAUCUCUAUUUUUUUGUGUGUUUUUCUGAGUGGAUGGAGAGUUUUAUCCAGUAAAAAGGUCAGGCGGAAGCAAGAACUCUACAUCAAC